rnacentral:rRNA from 1 species
GACGAACGCUGGCGGCGUGCCUAAUACAUGCAAGUCGAGCGGGGUUGUCGGAGUGGAGUCCUUCGGGAUGAAGCACCGUCAACCUAGCGGCGGACGGGUGAGUAACGCGUGGGUAACCUGCCCUAAAGCCCGGGAUAACACCGGGAAACUGGUGCUAACACCGGAUACCUUCCGAAGAGGGCAUCCUUUUUGGAAGAAAGGUUAACGCUUUAGGAUGGGCCCGCGUCCCAUUAGCUAGUUGGUGAGGUAACGGCUCACCAAGGCAGUGAUGGGUAGCCGGCCUGAGAGGGUGGACGGCCACACUGGGACUGAGACACGGCCCAGACUCCUACGGGAGGCAGCAGUAGGGAAUAUUGCGCAAUGGGCGAAAGCCUGACGCAGCGACGCCGCGUGGGUGAUGAAGGCCUUCGGGUUGUAAAACCCUGUCCUUGGGGAAGAAGGAAGUGACGGUACCCAAGGAGGAAGCCCCGGCUAAUUACGUG